GACGAACGCUGGCGGCGUGCCUAAUACAUGCAAGUAGAACGCUGAAGGAGGAGCUUGCUUCUCUGGAUGAGUUGCGAACGGGUGAGUAACGCGUAGGUAACCUGCCUGGUAGCGGGGGAUAACUAUUGGAAACGAUAGCUAAUACCGCAUAAUAUUGACUAUUGCAUGAUAGUCAGUUGAAAGGUGCAACUGCACCACUACCAGAUGGACCUGCGUUGUAUUAGCUAGUUGGUGGGGUAACGGCUCACCAAGGCGACGAUACAUAGCCGACCUGAGAGGGUGAUCGGCCACACUGGGACUGAGACACGGCCCAGACUCCUACGGGAGGCAGCAGUAGGGAAUCUUCGGCAAUGGACGGAAGUCUGACCGAGCAACGCCGCGGGAGUGAAGAAGGUUGUCGGAUCGUAAAGCUCUGUUGUAAGAGAAGAACGAGUGUGAGAGUGGAAAGCUCACACUGUGACGGUAGCUUACCAGAAAGGGACGGCUAACUACGUG
rnacentral:rRNA from 1 species